UUUAAACAGCCUGGUGUUUUUACAGUUUUUACAUUAUUGCUUUCAUUCAAAAGGGAAUUUGAAGUAAUAAAUGGCAGCAAGAAGCGAAUUGAAUACUGCUGGGAGGUUGUAAAUGGGCAUUCCUCCUGGAUGGGGAGGGGGCAAGGAGAAGAAUGAGAUGCCUACACCAAUCAAUCCUACCACACAUCUGACAUCAGCCAAUCCCACCACACUUGGCUAAGGUUCAGUGAUACACGAUGUUAAGUCGUAGAUGUCUUUUAUUAGCACACUUGACAGACCAGGAAAUGAUUUUUCUCUACAAUUCAAGAAAACUGCUGUUUAACAAAAAUUUCAAUUGCUGAUUCAAAUAGACACUUUAAGCAAAGUUUACUGUAUGAAAGCUUGUGAGGAUAAGUGGAAAUGUAUUAUACUGCCUUAAUUCUAUUCUGUAUUUGUGGUAGCAAUUAAAUAAAAGUGUUUUUGUGGCUUU
rnacentral:lncRNA from 1 species